rnacentral:lncRNA from 1 species
CCAAAUUAAAACAAGUCAUAAGAUAGAAUCCUAGUAAGACUAGGAUUCCACCUUGCGCCACAUAAACCUUCUCCACGCCCUCUCUCUUAUUCAACGCCAAUCUCCACUUAUUUUGUGUGACAAAAGCCCUCUCCUAGAUCUCUCCCACGUUCACAAAAGGUCUCCUCUCUUCUUUCUUACAUGGAAGGUGGUUUGGAUCAAAUCUAAAAGGAAUAAGUUUGGAUUUCGAAUUCUAUGAGAUAGAGUUUUAGAAAUCCAAAACUCCUUCAAUUUUGCACCGAAUUUAUCCAAAUUUUUUUUGAAAUUUUCAUGGAUUUUAGGGUAUACAUUAUGCAUCCUUUUCUUAUAAUCCAUGCAUAAAAAUAUGGAGGAGGUGCUCAAGAGUUGGGCGUCCCUUAACUUGCCAUGUUUGGAUAAGCCUUGACUAGGUGUUUGACCUAGACAAGGACUCUA